AUGUGCGCACUCCAUCCUAAACAUGGGAACUGUCUGCCGGCUGCUCUUGUGGAAGCAGUCAGAUUGAGUGUUUGUAGCUGGGGGACUUGAAGCAGAGCGACGUGCUCCCUCUUCUCCCAAACAAACCAGGACAGCUGGAAGGGCUGAGGCUGGCUGGGAAGGCCGCGGGACGGGAAUCGCCUCCUGAGGGUGACCAGGCAGAAAUCAGUGCUCUUUGCUAACGGCUCCUUCCGCUCUGAACACCAAGGCCUGGUGAAGCAGGAGGAGGGUGUGUAUGUGCAGGACUUUUCCUUCCAGUGGUUCGCCUCCAUCCCAGGAAUGUGCUGGGACCCACUUCUGAGAGCACAGCGCCCUCUGCUCGGUGGAAAUGGACAAAGGUGCACGGUCCUCCCGUGCUGGCACCCCGAGAAAAGCAGUGGUGCCGUGAACACCACCCUUGCCUCACAGUGGGGCCAGGCCCCAGGGUCUGAGGCUGUGCUAUGGGCUGUAAAGCCGUGCUAUGCUCUGGUCCCAGCUCCCCAGCUCAGACUUCUCAGCACGUGUGUACUCAGAGUCACUGGCGCUCCCACACCGGCUACACAAAGAUGGGUGGGAAGGAACCACUGGCAAAGAGGACAGUCACAAUGGCUUGAUCUUCCCUGAAGUUCAUGGCUGGACGUAGUCUCAGGCCCUCAUGGGGACCAUACCCUGUAGACCUCCAUUAUAUGAACACUUAGUUUAUCUUGUGACAACAAAUGCAGGCAUAGACAUCAGGGAAUUGACACACUCAGUUUGUGUAUUUGGCAGGACAUUAUUUCCAUGUUCUUCCAUGACACGAUCAGAUCCACCCCUCUCCCCGGGGCUGGGAAUACAUCGGUCCCCAGAAAGCUGUGCAGCUAUCACAUCAGUGAAGCAAGUGAGAAGUGAGGGCACAGAGAAGGCCACCGGGGCAAUCUGCCCAGCCUGCAGACUGUGUCCUGCUGGCAUCUCAGCAGCCUGCAGGAAAGUAGUGGCAAGGAGUGAACUAUGAGUUGACUGAAUGCUUCUGUGGGCCAAAUUCAGAAUGCAGUCUGUUUGCUGGGUUCUCUGGGGAAAGGAACUACGUAUUAUCUGAUAAGGAAUCAGCUACCGAACAGGAAAAGAACAACUAUAGCUUACAUCUGCAAGAACUGAGAUCCAUUCUGACCUGUGUCUUUUCCAGUGCCUGGCUAAAACAAUUAGCAUCAGUCAAAUGACCCAAAGCCUCUGUCUCACACUGAAAAGAAUAAAUUCUGUUAUUGCAAA
ensembl:lncRNA